AAACAGUAUUUUCACCGUAUUUUGAGAAAGCGGUUAUUUCACCGUAAAGUUUAGCCAAUCGGAUCGACUGACAGCCAAUAGGAAUUCAGCGCGCGCAACGCCAUCUUCCGGAAAUGGAAAAGCGAGGGUGAUGAUAGCAAACAUGGCGGCCUCUAUUGGAAAGACAUCCUAAGAAUUUGUGGACAGUUGAUGGCAUUGGGAAAAACUCAUCAAUGAUGCAUUUGCAAACUUUAAGAGGUGCUUUGUGGAAAUAAAUCCAAUGCCUGGGUCCAAGACAUAAAAGAUGAUUUUUAUUAUUUGUAAAUGUUGCGAUUUGUAAUACAUUUGUUAUGUUGUAUAUAUGUAUUUGUGAAUUAUUUUGUAUUGCUCAAAUUCUAAAAUAAACAAGAUCUCCACGUAAGGUUUCUUAUUUUUUCUGUGUUUAAAAUAUUUUCAAUAAUAGAGAGCUUGGAUUAAACUGUCAUUUGGGAGGUAAAACUCAGUACCAGCAAAUUUU